GACGAACGCUGGCGGCGUGCCUAAUACAUGCAAGUAGAACGCACAGUUUAUACCGUAGCUUGCUACACCAUAGACUGUGAGUUGCGAACGGGUGAGUAACGCGUAGGUAACCUGCCUGGUAGCGGGUGGUAACUAUUGGAAACGAUAGCUAAUACCGCAUAAUAUUAAUUAUUGCAUGAUAAUUAAUUGAAAGGUGCAAUUGCACCACUAGCAGAUGGGCCUGCGUUGUAUUAGCUAGUAGGGGAGGUUACGGCCACCCUAGGCGACGAUACAUAUCCGGACUGGUAAGGUGAUCGGCCAAAAUGGGACUGAGACAAGGCCCAGAAUCCUACGGGAGGCAGCAGUAGGGAAUCUUCGGCAAUGGACGAAAGUCUGACCGAGCAACGCCGCGUGAGUGAAGAAGGUUUUCGGAUCGUAAAGCUCUGUUGUAAGAGAAGAACGGGUGUGAGAGUGGAAAGUGCACACUGUGACGGUAUCUUACCAGAAAGGGACGGCUAACUACGUG
rnacentral:rRNA from 1 species